AUGGCCCUGAAUCAAGGCAGCAGUUUUCUGAAGCAGGAGCCUGAAAUAUCUUUCUAUGGUCUUUUGGCCAUUUCAGAACUUUAGAAAUAUAAUGGCCAAUUCAUUAGAAAGAAGCAACG
ensembl:snoRNA